rnacentral:rRNA from 1 species
AUUGAACGCUGGCGGCAGGCCUAACACAUGCAAGUCGAGCGGAUGAAGGGAGCUUGCUCCUGGAUUCAGCGGCGGACGGGUGAGUAAUGCCUAGGAAUCUGCCUGGUAGUGGGGGAUAACGUCCGGAAACGGGCGCUAAUACCGCAUACGUCCUGAGGGAGAAAGUGGGGGAUCUUCGGACCUCACGCUAUCAGAUGAGCCUAGGUCGGAUUAGCUAGUUGGUGGGGUAAAGGCCUACCAAGGCGACGAUCCGUAACUGGUCUGAGAGGAUGAUCAGUCACACUGGAACUGAGACACGGUCCAGACUCCUACGGGAGGCAGCAGUGGGGAAUAUUGGACAAUGGGCGAAAGCCUGAUCCAGCCAUGCCGCGUGUGUGAAGAAAGUCUUCGGAUUGUAAAGCACUUUAAGUUGGGAGGAAGGUCAGUAAGUUAAUACCUUGCUGUUUUGACGUUACCAACAGAAUAAGCACCGGCUAACUUCGUG